rnacentral:rRNA from 1 species
GGGGGGACGCAGUAGGAUAGGCGAAGCGUGCUGUUGGAGUGCACGUCCAAGCAGUAAGGCUGAGUGUUAGGCAAAUCCGGCACUCAUAAAGCUGAGCUGUGAUGGGGAGAGGAAAUUGUUUCCUCGAGUCGUUGAUUUCACACUGCCGAGAAAAGCCUCUAGAUAGAUAACAGGUGCCCGUACCGCAAACCGACACAGGUAGUCAAGAUGAGAAUUCUAAGGUGAGCGAGCGAACUCUCGUUAAGGAACUCGGCAAAAUGACCCCGUAACUUCGGGAGAAGGGGUGCUCUUUAGGGUUCACGCCCAGAAGAGCCGCAGUGAAUAGGCCCAAGCGACUGUUUAUCAAAAACACAGGUCUCUGCUAAACCGUAAGGUGAUGUAUAGGGGCUGACGCCUGCCCGGUGCUGGAAGGUUAAGAGGAGUGGUUAGCUUCUGCGAAGCUACGAAUCGAAGCCCCAGUAAACGGCGGCCGUAACUAUAACGGUCCUAAGGUAGCGAAAUUCCUUGUCGGGUAA